rnacentral:misc_RNA from 1 species
CCGAAGUUACUCUUCAUACCCUUUUGUGAACACUACCCCAUUGCCGCGCGUUGCCUCGGCGGUGAGGUCUGCGGUGGGGCCGCGCUCCGGCGCUCCCCGCCCCGGGCCCCCGCCGGCCGCGCCGAACUCUUCAUUUGCAAAGCGGACUGUACGUUCUGAUUAUAUCUUGAAAAACAAGUCA